ACGUGUAUGUGGGUGAAAGACAGACAGAGAGAGAGAAGAGAGGAGGGGCAUGGUGGUGUAGCCGGAGUAGUGAAGUCUUUUCAAUUGGUAGAACAGAUUAUUUUUUUUUUAUUCCUAAAGCAGAAGAAUUAGAAAUGUCUGAGUUGGACUUAUUUUUUUAGGGUUUAAAACUUGAACCUUCAGUGAACCAGGGGAUGAAAGAAUGAGGAAAUCCUUAAGACUUUUACUAGUAAUCCUGUGGCUUCAGUUAACCUGUGUGAGGAGCCAACAGAAGGGAGUGGAGCAGAGUCCUGGAUCUCUGCGUGUUCCAGAGGGAGACGUUGCCUCUCUCAACUGCACUUAUAGUGACCGUACUUCCCAGAACUUCAUGUGGUACAGACAGUAUUCUGGGAAAGGCCCUGAGUUUCUGGUGUACGCAUACUCCAACAACGACAAGAAUGAAGGAAAAUUUAUAGCUCAGCACAGUAGAGCCGGCCAAUAUAUCUCUCUGCUCAUCAGAGAUUCCCAGCCCAGCGACUCAGCCACCUACCUCUGUGCAGUGAGCACACGGUGCUCCCCCAGCACCUGCAGUCUGUACCCAAACCUGCUGGGGCCCUUCGAAUGCUUGAUAUAG